rnacentral:misc_RNA from 1 species
GUAGGUGAACCUGCGGAAGGAUCAUUAUUGAAUAUUCUUGAUGGGUUGUAGCUGGCUCUCCGGGGCAUGUGCACACUUGUCUUGACUUUAUUCGUCCACCUGUGCACCUUUUGUAGUCUUGGGGGUUGAGAGCAAGUCGACUAUCGGAUGGCUAAGGCCUUUCCGGACGUGAGGAUUGCUGAGUGCGAAAGCAUACAGCUCUUCUUAAAUGACUUGUAAUACCUCUCCCUCGAGUACUAUGUAUUCAUAU